GCUGAAAAAAAGUGCGGACGUUGAGUACGUGUGAAUCGUGCCUCCCGGGAAUAAAACAGCAGGCGAUGAUUUAAGAUCAGCAGACAUCGAAAUGAUUUCGUGUCCAGCUGAUCCUCUGAGACGGGGCACUUCCGCAAAUUCAGAAGUUGUGAUGAUUAACUGGAGACCAUUCAGCAGCCACUUCGGACCAGCCGUCACCCCAGCAACACUCCACCCCGUCCAGCCGGAGGUGGGGGGGGGGGGGAGAAUCGGGUUGCGCCAGGCCGCCCCGAUUGGCUGAAGCGCAUCAGACAAGGGAGCUGCCUCCUUCUGAUUGGUCGCGCUGCCAUCAGGAGCUGUGGCGCUUCGAGCCGCCGGUUCGAAGGUGUCGCUGACCGGCAGUAACCCGGCCGCCGGCUGAUGCAACCGCGGAAUCCCAGGCAGUCAGCAGAGUUCGCAGGAGCACCAGCUCGACUUGUAGUAACCCCCCACCCGCGCAGCAGCAUUACUAAGAGAGGGAACUUGGGUGCUGACCGCAGACUCAACAUAAAAAGAAGUUCCAGUCCGGUUAGUGGGAGACUUGGACAUUAAUGGAGUUACCAGGUUCUUUUGAAGACCCUGACCUGGAGUUACAUUCUGACUUUGGUUCUUUGCGGGAAUGGGACCGGCUCUUGGGGUUUUACAACCGGCGUUAUCUGAUAUGGCAAGGGCGUGGCCUAAGAGUUCGGUUCGCCUUUGGAGGAUCUUGAGGCUUUGGAGACAGGCGGAUUGAAGGUCGGUGUCCCAACAGGCUGGUGUCGUGGGAGUCGGAAGAGCGUUGGCUGUGUGCCCAGAGACCUGAGAUCUUUGGGCACAGACCUCAGAAAAAGCGAUGCAUUGGACUUUUAACAUCGUAAAUCAGCAAGUUGUUUGUUAUGUCUCCCCUCUCGCAGUGAAAUGGAUCCCAGAGAGAACCUGUGAUUGGGAAGAGACUGCAAUGGACAAAGCAGUGUGAGGUGGCUGUCCAAAAGGAAAAGGAAAUGGUGAUGUCAAACACAGUAGUCACACAUUAUGAUCCACAUUGUCCAGUGAAGCUUGACAUGCACUGUUCGGGAUGCCAAUUCAUCCAGAAGAAAAGUGUCUAGAGCUGUCCAAACCACUUUGUGCAGACCCAGAGUCAACUCCUACAACCCGCACGGAGGAGGCCCCAGAACCUGCGAUUGUUUCACAGCCUCAAGUCUCAUCUGCCAAGUGAGUGACCCCUCCCCCU